rnacentral:rRNA from 1 species
UACGGAGGGUGCGAGCGUUGUCCGGAAUCACUGGGCGUAAAGGGCGCGUAGGCGGCUCAUGAAGGCUGUGGUGAAAGUCCGGGGCUCAACCUCGGAUCGGCCGUGGCGACUCGUGGGCUGGAGCACUGUAGAGGCGGGUGGAAUUCCGGGUGGAGUGGUGAAAUGCGUAGAGAUCCGGAGGAACACCAGAGGCGAAGGCGGCCUACUGGGCUGCACCUGACGCUGAGGCGCGAAAGCGUGGGGAGCAAACAGG